UUCUUAGGAAUUAAAUAGUUAAUUAAAUCUAUAAGAUUUAAAGGAAAGUCCGGAGCUUAUUAUUAAAUAAUAACCAUAAUAUAAAAUAUCUAAUGAGAAUUAGGGUAAUAAUCAGAAAUAUUUUCAAUUUAAAAUAAUUAAAAUUUAAAAUAAAUUUUAAUAAAUUGAUAGAAUAAUUUUACCUAUGGUAGCUUAAACUAAAAUAUUUAAUUAAUUUAAAAUCUAUUAAAUAUAAAUUUUUAAUAAAUAUAAUUUUUUAUUUAAUAAAUUUAUUUAUUGAGUAUAGAAUUAUUAACUUAAUAACAUAAUCCGGCUUAUUUAAUUCUAAGAA
rnacentral:misc_RNA from 1 species